UACGUAGGGUCCAAGCGUUAUCCGGAUUUACUGGGUGUAAAGGGCGAGUAGACGGCAUAGCAAGUCAGAUGUGAAAACUUAGAGCUCAACUUUAAGCGUGCAUCUGAAACUGUUAAGCUAGAGUGCAGAAGAGGUAAGUGGAAUUCCUAGUGUAGCGGUGAAAUGCGUAGAUAUUAGGAGGAACACCAGUGGCGAAGGCGACUUACUGGGCUGUAACUGACGUUGAGGAGCGAAAGUGUGGGGAGCAAACA
rnacentral:rRNA from 1 species